rnacentral:rRNA from 2 species
UUAAGUGACUAAGCGUACACGGUGGAUGCCCUGGCAGUCAGAGGCGAUGAAGGACGUGCUAAUCUGCGAAAAGCGUCGGUAAGGUGAUAUGAACCGUUAUAACCGGCGGUGUCCGAAUGGGGAAACCCAGUGCAAUUCGUUGCACUAUCGUUAACUGAAUACAUAGGUUAACGAGGCGAACCGGGGGAACUGAAACAUCUAAGUACCCCGAGGAAAAGAAAUCAACCGAGAUUCCCCCAGUAGCGGCGAGCGAACGGGGAGCAGCCCAGAGUCUGAAUCAGCUUGUGUGUUAGUGGAACGGUCUGGAAAGUCCGACGGUACAGGGUGAUAGUCCCGUACACCAAAAUGCACAGGCUGUGAACUCGAAGAGUAGGGCGGGACACGUGGUAUCCUGUCUGAAUAUGGGGGGACCAUCCUCCAAGGCUAAAUACUCCUGACUGACCGAUAGUGAACCAGUACCGUGAGGGAAAGGCGAAAAGAACCCCGGCGAGGGGAGUGAAAAAGAACCUGAAACCGUGUACGUACAAGCAGUGGGAGCACCUUCGGGUGUGACUGCGUACCUUUUGUAUAAUGGGUCAGCGACUUAUAUUCUGUAGCAAGGUUAACCGUAUAGGGGAGCCGCAGGGAAACCGAGUCUUAACUGGGCGUUAAGUUGCAGGGUAUAGACCCGAAACCCGGUGAUCUAGCCAUGGGCAGGUUGAAGGUUGGGUAACACUAACUGGAGGACCGAACCGACUAAUGUUGAAAAAUUAGCGGAUGACUUGUGGCUGGGGGUGAAAGGCCAAUCAAACCGGGAGAUAGCUGGUUCUCCCCGAAAGCUAUUUAGGUAGCGCCUCGUGAAUUCAUCUUCGGGGGUAGAGCACUGUUUCGGCUAGGGGGUCAUCCCGACUUACCAACCCGAUGCAAACUACGAAUACCGAAGAAUGUUAUCACGGGAGACACACGGCGGGUGCUAACGUCCGUCGUGAAGAGGGAAACAACCCAGACCGCCAGCUAAGGUCCCAAAGUCAUGGUUAAGUGGGAAACGAUGUGGGAAGGCACAGACAGCCAGGAUGUUGGCUUAGAAGCAGCCAUCAUUUAAAGAAAGCGUAAUAGCUCACUGGUCGAGUCGGCCUGCGCGGAAGAUGUAACGGGGCUAAACCAUGCACCGAAGCUGCGGCAGCGACACUAUGUGUUGUUGGGUAGGGGAGCGUUCUGUAAGCCUGCGAAGGUGUGCUGUGAGGCAUGCUGGAGGUAUCAGAAGUGCGAAUGCUGACAUAAGUAACGAUAAAGCGGGUGAAAAGCCCGCUCGCCGGAAGACCAAGGGUUCCUGUCCAACGUUAAUCGGGGCAGGGUGAGUCGACCCCUAAGGCGAGGCCGAAAGGCGUAGUCGAUGGGAAACAGGUUAAUAUUCCUGUACUUGGUGUUACUGCGAAGGGGGGACGGAGAAGGCUAUGUUAGCCGGGCGACGGUUGUCCCGGUUUAAGCAUGUAGGCUGGUUAUCCAGGCAAAUCCGGAUAAUCAAGGCUGAGGUGUGAUGACGAGGCACUACGGUGCUGAAGUAACAAAUGCCCUGCUUCCAGGAAAAGCCUCUAAGCAUCAGGUAACAUCAAAUCGUACCCCAAACCGACACAGGUGGUCAGGUAGAGAAUACCAAGGCGCUUGAGAGAACUCGGGUGAAGGAACUAGGCAAAAUGGUGCCGUAACUUCGGGAGAAGGCACGCUGGUGUGUAGGUGAAGUCCCUGCGGAUGGAGCUGAGACCAGUCGAAGAUACCAGCUGGCUGCAACUGUUUAUUAAAAACACAGCACUGUGCAAACACGAAAGUGGACGUAUACGGUGUGACGCCUGCCCCGGUGCCGGAAGGUUAAUUGAUGGGGUUAUCCGUAAGGAGAAGCUCUUGAUCGAAGCCCCGGUAAACGGCGGCCGUAACUAUAACGGUCCUAAGGUAGCGAAAUUCCUUGUCGGGUAAGUUCCGACCUGCACGAAUGGCGUAAUGAUGGCCAGGCUGUCUCCACCCGAGACUCAGUGAAAUUGAACUCGCUGUGAAGAUGCAGUGUACCCGCGGCAAGACGGAAAGACCCCGUGAACCUUUACUAUAGCUUGACACUGAACAUUGAGCCUUGAUGUGUAGGAUAGGUGGGAGGCUUUGAAGCGUGGACGCCAGUCUGCGUGGAGCCAACCUUGAAAUACCACCCUUUAAUGUUUGAUGUUCUAACGUUGGCCCCUGACCGGGGUUGCGGACAGUGUCUGGUGGGUAGUUUGACUGGGGCGGUCUCCUCCCAAAGCGUAACGGAGGAGCACGAAGGUUAGCUAAUCCUGGUCGGACAUCAGGAGGUUAGUGCAAUGGCAUAAGCUAGCUUGACUGCGAGCGUGACGGCGCGAGCAGGUGCGAAAGCAGGUCAUAGUGAUCCGGUGGUUCUGAAUGGAAGGGCCAUCGCUCAACGGAUAAAAGGUACUCCGGGGAUAACAGGCUGAUACCGCCCAAGAGUUCAUAUCGACGGCGGUGUUUGGCACCUCGAUGUCGGCUCAUCACAUCCUGGGGCUGAAGUAGGUCCCAAGGGUAUGGCUGUUCGCCAUUUAAAGUGGUACGCGAGCUGGGUUUAGAACGUCGUGAGACAGUUCGGUCCCUAUCUGCCGUGGGCGCUGGAGAAUUGAGGGGGGCUGCUCCUAGUACGAGAGGACCGGAGUGGACGCAUCACUGGUGUUCGGGUUGUCAUGCCAAUGGCACUGCCCGGUAGCUAAAUGCGGAAGAGAUAAGUGCUGAAAGCAUCUAAGCACGAAACUUGCCCCGAGAUGAGUUCUCCCUGAGACUUUAAGUCUCCUGAAGGAACGUUAAAGACGAUGACGUUGAUAGGCCGGGUGUGUAAGCGCAGCGAUGCGUUGAGCUAACCGGUACUAAUGAACCGUGAGGCUUAACCUU